rnacentral:lncRNA from 1 species
GAUGGGAUUUUUCUACAUUUUAAAAUCUGCAUGUGUUUUGUUUUGACACAGUUGGAUGGCAAUUGGAAGAGUACUGGCCCUGGGAAGACCCAGCUUUGAGCCUCAGGUUGUGUCUAAUCAUCUCUCUGUCCUUGGGCCAGUCAACUCACCUGUUCGUGCUGCCACAGAGACAGAGGGGCCACAUCAGAGAGAAAGACUCUACAGCUUGCCCAGAGUCGAGCUUAAAUGGAGCAGCAUGAUUUUUGUCUGAAAAGUCUGAGAUGGGACCAGUGGAAAGGUGUGCAUUUUAAGAAGGAUUUGCUUCCCCAUCUUGUGCCUUCUGUGUCUUGCAGCACGACCUGGCCCUCCACCUAGGAAUCAUACCUUCAUCCCCCAUACUCAUAAGCAUCCUCAUUCCUGUUUCCUUGUGGAUGUCAUGGUCUGCUGUGAAGUCUGCUUGGUGACCCGUCCAGACCUGACUUGGAACCAGGUCAGCACACAGUUUCCAAUCUGGAGGUCUUUUCAACAUGCAGUUGAGGAUGGAGACGCUGGCCACAACAUAUAUGACAUUCCCCUGCCAGCCUCCCUCAGCAUCCCUCUGGAUCCCCUUCCCCCCUUUACUCAGAGUGUGUUCAGAAAAAGCACACUCAUUUUAGCAUGUGUCUGAGUGAGGCCAAAUUAGGAAAGUAAGACUACAGUAAAAAUAAACUCACUAAAGCAUGCCAAAAAUAAAUGGCUUUUAGAUUAUCCACUGUUCUGGAUUAUGCUAACCCACUAGAGAGUGACCAGGACUGCUGCGUUCACCUGCUGCAGGCCAG